rnacentral:tRNA from 1 species
GGAGAGGUGCCGGAGUGGUCGAACGGGACGGACUCGAAAUCCGUUGUGCCCGUAAGGGCACCGUGGGUUCGAAUCCCACCCUCUCCGCCA